rnacentral:lncRNA from 1 species
GCUGGGCUCUAGAGGGUCUGUGGGCAACUGAGGCCUUGGUGGAGGAGUCUUGGCGACACAGGCAGCACUUGCAGGGAGCUGUGGUGUUUACUUUGUAGGUUCCUGAGAAGAAGCUGAAGCUGGUGAUGGCUGACAAGGAGUUGUACCGGGCAUGUGCUGUGGAAGUGAAGAGGCAGAUCUGGCAAGAUAACCAGGCUCUCUUUGGUGAUGAAGUCUCACCACUGUUGAAGCAGUAUAUCCUAGAGAAGGAGAGUGCACUGUUCAGCACGGAGCUCUCUGUCCUGCACAACUUCUUCAGCCCUUCCCCCAAGACCAGGCGUCAGGGAGAGGUGAGAGGAAGGCAGGGUGUGCUCAGUGAGGCAAAUGCCUGGCAGGAGUGUGGCCAGCCCUUCAUUCCUUGCCUCUUCCCUGUGUGUGUUACUUAGUCUGUUUCUGUAAGCGUGAACUUAUGUAUGUAGCCUGGAAAAAGUUGGUUGGCAGAGGUUGAGGCAGGAGGAUUGCUGUGAGUUUGAGGCCAGCCUGAUCUCAUCACAAAAAAAAAAAAAAA